rnacentral:rRNA from 1 species
AGUAACGCGUGAGGAACCUGCCUCAAAGAGGGGGACAACAGUUGGAAACGACUGCUAAUACCGCAUAAGCCCACGGCUCGGCAUCGAGCAGAGGGAAAAGGAGCAAUCCGCUUUGAGAUGGCCUCGCGUCCGAUUAGCUAGUUGGUGAGGUAACGGCCCACCAAGGCGACGAUCGGUAGCCGGACUGAGAGGUUGAACGGCCACAUUGGGGCUGAGACACGGCCCAG